ACGAACGCUGGCGGCGUGCUUAACACAUGCAAGUCGAACGGAAAGGCCCUGCUUUUGUGGGGUGCUCGAGUGGCGAACGGGCGAGUAACACGUGAGUAACCUGCCCUUGACUUUGGGAUAACUUCAGGAAACUGGGGCUAAUACCGGAUAGGAGCUCCUGCUGCAUGGUGGGGGUUGGAAAGUUUCGGCGGUUGGGGAUGGACUCGCGGCUUAUCAGCUUGUUGGUGGGGUAGUGGCUUACCAAGGCUUUGACGGGUAGCCGGCCUGAGAGGGUGACCGGCCACAUUGGGACUGAGAUACGGCCCAGACUCCUACGGGAGGCAGCAGUGGGGGAUAUUGCACAAUGGGCGGAAGCCUGAUGCAGCAACGCCGCGUGCGGGAUGACGGCCUUCGGGUUGUAAACCGCUUUCGCCUGUGACGAAGCGUGAGUGACGGUAAUGGGUAAAGAAGCACCGGCUAACUACGUG
rnacentral:rRNA from 1 species